rnacentral:rRNA from 1 species
UCCCAGACUCCUACGGGAGGCAGCAGUCGAGAAUCAUUCACAAUGGGGGAAACCCUGAUGGUGCGACGUCGCGUGGGGGAAUGAAGGUCUUCGGAUUGUAAACCCCUGUCAUGUGGGAGCAAAUUAAAAAGAUAGUACCACAAGAGGAAGAGACGGCUAACUCUGUGCCAGCAGCCGCGGUAAUACGGAGGAUGCGAGCGUUAUCCGGAUUUAUUGGGUUUAAAGGGUGCGCAGGCGGAAGAUCAAGUCAGCGGUAAAAUUGAGGGGCUCAACCUCUUCGAGCCGUUGAAACUGGUUUUCUUGAGUGAGUGAGAAGUAUGCGGAAUGCGUGGUGUAGCGGUGAAAUGCAUAGAUAUCACGCAGAACUCCGAUUGCGAAGGCAGCAUACCGGCGCUCAACUGACGCUCAUGCACGAAAGCGUGGGUAUCGAACAGGAUUAGAUACCCUAGUA